GUUCAUGAUGGUGCCGGAUUAGAAGAGUGGCGAUGUGGUGCUGACCUGGUAUGAUGAUAGGGUUUUGUUCCUUGCUGCACAGGUCAGAUUUCUCUAUUCGACCUCCAACUCGCAGCAACUGAUUGUCAUCGACCACAGGGCUUAGUUUAAAUAGUGAACUAUCCUUUGAUAGAGGUAUUCCACCUUUGAAUCUGUGGAAUUC